GUGGGGAAUAUUGCGCAAUGGGGGAAACCCUGACGCAGCAACGCCGAGUGAGUGAGGAAGGACUUCGGUCUGUAAAGCUCUGUUAAUGUGGAAAAAUGGUAGUUGGUCUAAUAGGCCGAUUAUUUGAUGGUACACAUAGAGGAAGCACCGGCUAACUUCGUGCCAGCAGCCGCGGUAAUACGAAGGGUGCAAGCGUUGUUCGGAUUUAUUGGGCGUAAAGCGCGCGUAGGCGGACCUGCAAGUCAGAUGUGAAAUCUCGGGGCUCAACCUCGAAACUGCGUCUGAAACUACAGGUCUAGAAUCUCGGAGGGGGAAGGGGAAUAUCGCAUGUAGGGGUAAAAUCCGUAGAUAUGCGAUGGAACACCAGAGGCGAAGGCGCCUUCCUGGACGAGUAUUGACGCUGAGGCGCGAAAGCGUGGGGAUCAAACAGGAUUAGAUACCCUGGUAGUCC
rnacentral:rRNA from 1 species